UACGAAGGGGGCUAGCGUUGUUCGGAUUUACUGGGCGUAAAGCGCACGUAGGCGGGUUGUUAAGUCAGGGGUGAAAUCCCGGAGCUCAACUCCGGAACUGCCUUUGAUACUGGUAAUCUAGAGAUCGGAAGAGGUUAGUGGAAUUCCCAGUGUAGAGGUGAAAUUCGUAGAUAUUGGGAAGAACACCAGUGGCGAAGGCGGCUAACUGGUCCGAUACUGACGCUGAGGUGCGAAAGCGUGGGGAGCAAACAGG
rnacentral:rRNA from 1 species